AGUCCAGACAGAAUGCCAGGAGCUUGAGUCAUUGUCUCCAUGACUGAUGGCCACAUACCUCUUGGGAAAGGGGAGCUGUGACAGGAGCCAGGGACACAGGAGGAUGGGAGAUGGAUACAGAUGAAUACCCAGAAGUCUAAGAAGUAGCUAUCCUGGUAUUGUUAACACCACAAGACAAAUUGUCUCAAAAUAAGUGAAAGAAUGAAAUAGGAGAAGAAUUUCUGGGACCAUCAGAAUUCCAGUCUGGCUGAGAAAAUGUUUGGACCAGGUUCAGAGUGAGAGACACAACCUCAAAGAAACAGAUGAA